UGGGGAAUUUUGGACAAUGGGCGAAAGCCUGAUCCAGCAAUGCCGCGUGUGUGAAGAAGGCCUUCGGGUUGUAAAGCACUUUUGUCCGGAAAGAAAUCCUUGGCUCUAAUACAGUCGGGGGAUGACGGUACCGGAAGAAUAAGCACCGGCUAACUACGUGCCAGCAGCCGCGGUAAUACGUAGGGUGCAAGCGUUAAUCGGAAUUACUGGGCGUAAAGCGUGCGCAGGCGGUUUGCUAAGACCGAUGUGAAAUCCCCGGGCUCAACCUGGGAACUGCAUUGGUGACUGGCAGGCUAGAGUAUGGCAGAGGGGGGUAGAAUUCCACGUGUAGCAGUGAAAUGCGUAGAGAUGUGGAGGAAUACCGAUGGCGAAGGCAGCCCCCUGGGCCAAAUACUGACGCUCAUGCACGAAAGGCGUGGGGAGCAAACAGGAUUAGAUACCCUGGUAGUCCACGCCCUAAACGAUGUCAACUAGUUGUUGGGGAUUCAUUUCCUUAGUAACGUAGCUAACGCGUGAAGUUGACCGCCUGGGGGAGUACGGUCGCAAGAUUAAAACUUAAAUGAAUUGACGGGGUCAUAGCUGUUUCCU
rnacentral:rRNA from 1 species